GAAAGUCAUUUGGACACCCAAACUAGUGUAUCUAUACUUCUAUCUAUAUGUAUAUAUAUCUAUAAUAACACAGACCAUCCCACAAACCAAUAGCGCUACAUGUCACACUUAUCAUUUAACAUAUUUUUUUUCUAAUUUUUUUAUAAUACAUUUACAUUUAAAUCAUCAAUAAAGUUAAUUCAUUAUAUGUAAUUAAUAUUAUUUCUUUCACUUUCCCACUAACUUAAAUACUUGUAUAGAUUAUGUAACGCUGAUUCCGUAACUUGCAUCGAACGGAGUGAGUAACGCAAAGGAGUGUGUAACGCAAAGGAGUGACAGAAAAACUGCUGCCAGUCCUUCCUGAAUUUACUUCCACUCUAGUAUUGACUUUCUUCCUCGAACAGUCAAACUUUACACUCAUCAUUCCUCUCAUGUUUUCUCUCUCCUCACUCGCUCUCCCCCGUACUCCCGUCAUUUUCCGGCGACAAUUCAUCGUCUCCGACGCAUCAUCACCGGCGAUUCCACGGUCGCAAAAUGCAAUCCUCAAUUCUUCGAAAUUAAACCUAAGAUUUCCAACUUUCAUGUCGAAUUUUCAAUCUUCUGGAAUUAAAUCAAGCACUGAAGCUGUUGUUGUUGAUGAUGAUGAUGAUAGCAGCAGUUCAAAGAGGAGAGAGAAAGCGAGCGUACUUCGUGUUGGUUUGAUUUGUGGCGGUCCUUCUAUGGAACGCGGAAUUUCGCUCAAUUCUGCUCGAUCAGUUCUCGAUCAUAUUCAAGGAGAUGAUUUGUGUGUUAGCUGCUACUACAUUGACAGUGAGCUCAAUGCUUAUGCCAUAUCUUCUGCUCAGCUCUAUUCAAACACCCCUUCGGAUUUUGAUUUUAAGCUUGAAAGCCUUGCUCAAGGUUUUCGCUGCUUGUCAGAUUUUGUGGAACACCUUGCUGCUUCAGUUGAUAUUGUGUUUCCUGUCAUCCAUGGUCCUUUUGGUGAAGAUGGUACUCUUCAGGAGUUGUUGGAGCAAGCAAAGGUCCCUUUUGUUGGUACAAAAUCAAAUGAAUCUCGCAAGGCAUUUGACAAGUAUGAAGCCUCAUUAGAGCUGAGCAGACAAGGAUUCUUGACAGUUCCUAGUUUCCUGGUUCAGGGAAACGAGUCAGAUGAAACCGAUCUACAGAAGUGGUUUGAAACAAAUCAAUUGGAUAUCGGAACAGGAAAAGUUGUGGUAAAACCAGCAAGAGGAGGAUCAAGCAUUGGUGUUACUGUUGCAUAUGGAGUUGCUGAUUCUUUUACAAAGGCUUGCCGAAUAAUAACAGAUAAAGUUGAUGAUAAAGCUCUUGUCGAGACAUUUCUCGAAGGAGGAAAGGAGUUUACUGCAAUUGUCCUUGAUGUGGGAAUUGGUUCUGACAGAAGCCCGGUUGUAUUAUUGCCUACAGAAGUGGAGCUUCAAUUCAAAGGUGAUGCAAACCUGAGAGAAAAGGAUGCAAUAUUCAAUUAUCGAAGGAAAUAUCUGCCUACUCAGCAGGUUGCUUAUCAUACUCCCCCUCGUUUCCCCUUAGAUGCAAUUGAGAUGAUUCGGGAAGGAGCCUCUUUAUUAUUCCAACGUCUUGGAUUAUGUGAUUUUGCUCGGAUUGAUGGUUGGUAUCUACCUCCUUCUUUUCUGAAACUUUCUUCAGGAUCAAAGUUUGGAAGAAGUGAAUCUGGCUUUGUAUUGUUUACGGACAUCAAUCUGAUCAGUGGGAUGGAACAGACAAGCUUCCUUUUCCAACAAGCAUCAAAGGUUGGAUUUUCCCAUUCAAAAAUCCUGCGGAGCAUUCUGCAGCGCGCAUGUUCACGGUACCCCAAUUUAGCAUCGUACACUAUCGAGUCAAAUUUAUUACUUGAAAGACAGAAGCACUCUCAGAUAAAGGAGUCAAUGUCGGAAAGGAAAAGAGUAUUUGUGCUUUUUGGAGGGGACACGUCAGAGAGGCAAGUGUCUCUUAUGAGUGGAACAAACGUCUGGCUCAACUUGCAGGCAUUUGAUGAUCUUGAGGUUACUCCAUAUUUUCUUGCGCCAACAAGCCCAUUUCACCUACAGAGGGAGAAGGAUGACGAUUUGAGCUCCAGAUCUGUCUGGUUCUUGCCCUAUUCUCUUGUCCUGAGACACACUACGGAGGAAGUUUUAGCUGCUUGCAUCGAGGCAAUGGACCGGGAUCGAGCUGCUUUGACAUCUCGUUUACGAAAAGAGGUGAUGGAAGGUCUCAUGAUAGGUUUGAAGAAGCACAGCUGGUUUACAGGGUUUGAUAUAUCUGAUGAAGUGCCUGUUAUGUAUUCUUUGUUGGAUUGGGUCAGGCUGGCCAAGAAUGUUCAGGCAACUGUUUUUAUUGCAGAUAAAACUCGUCUUGGUUCUACUAACAAAGAAAUGCUGGUAAGUUGUACAACAAUACUGUGUUGUGGGCAGCACAGGCUCUUUAGGUCUUCCACUUAACAGGUGGUUGGAGCAUGGUUGGCAAGAUGAGUAGGUGACAUGAAGUUGUGAACUGUGAACUAAAUGGCCCCAAAAAAUACCAAAGCUGAAUUAGUCAAAGACCUGGAAAGGCUAUGCUAGUUACUCUACAUAUAGUGCUCUUAACUCAGAGACUAUGUGAUUUAUGAUACAUCAGUUGUAUUUUGAAGGCCAAGAUAUACCCUUCUGAAAAAACAGCUAACUUUGAAUGUUAUCCUACUCCGGCAAAGUUCAUCCUUCUCUUGCAUAAGGAUUGGAUAAUACAGAAACUUGGUUAAACUAUGCCACUAUACUGUAAUUGGGAGCUCAGUUUUUUGUUUCUUCCACUCAAUAGUUUAGGUUAGAACUGCAAGAUGGGUGGUACAGGAUAGGUUAGGUGAUACAAAGCUGGGAGAUGGACAAAUUCAACUCUAGUAGCUGCAAGCUGAAGGAUAUUUAGACAAAAAUUAACUGAUUCCAGGUGCUACUAGCAGAAUUGUUUUGCCAGAGAGUGAUGGAUGGCUCAAGCUAGCAACUAGGAGGGUGAUACCAUACCUCAUACCUCAUGCUGGUACAGUGUAAUUAUAGAUUGAGGUUUUAUUUCCAGUUAAUUCUUGCUUUUUAAUAAUCUUGGAAGUAGGAAAGCCAUGUCCAAAAAAAUAACUCUCCUAUUUUCUGCAUGCUGGAUCAAGUUUGAGGUUUGAGAUGGAGGCUGGAAGGGUGUAGGGUUCACGGAGAAAUUAAAGUAUGCACGAAGCAAACAAAAAAAAAAAGAAAAAAGAAAAAAAGAGAGUUAAGUAUGGAAGUGUUUAAUGAUGAUCUUCAGAGGAAGCGAUGCCUUCUUGAAGGAUAAUCUGUAGGAAGUGGGAGCUUAAGGAUUAUAUGCGAUAGUGAUUUGACUAAUUAGCUACAUUUAUGAGACUUGUUCAACAUGUUCUUAGAAAUAAUUAUAGAAGUUAUUUCAUCAAGGACUAAAAGGUUGAAUGUGCUAAAUGCUAAGUGUUCUAGGAGCAAGAGGCUUUGUUGAUGAGAAUUGUGAGAUUAUUCUCUCUUUAAGAUUUGAAGGAUAUUUUUUUGUAGUAAUAUUGCUUCUUGUUUUGGGAGGUUUGGGCUUGGGGACACUGACUAGAUUAUUAGAGCAUCUCCAAUGGUAAGCUAAUUGCCAAAUCAGCUUUUCAUGCCACAUUAAAUUUUGUAGCUAGUUUGUGCCCCUAUGAUUAGUUAUUAGCUUGCUAUUUGAAUGAGCCUUACUUUCUCAAUUACCUUUAAAAAUUUAAAUUUAUUAUAUAUCGAUCUCCCAUAUUUUGGAUUCUUUUUCUCCAGCAAAUUAGCUUGUGCAAGCUAAUUUUAUUUUUUUAGCUCCAAUGGUCAAGCUAGUCCCUAGUGACUUUUGAAAAUUGCAAGCAAGUCCCUAACUAUAACAUUGGAGUUGCUCUAAGGUACUUCGGCAUUUUGACAGAUGAGGUUUAGAAAUAUGUUUCUGAGAUCAGAUAGAUGAAUCACUAAGUUGUAGCUAUUUCACAACAGCCUUGUUGAUUCUGUCAAGGAUGACCCUGUUGAGGUCUUUUCGGAUUUUUAAGAGGCCGAUAAGAAAGAUAAAGAUUUCUACUUCUGUCAUCUUAGUACGUCAGUAAAAGUUCUUGUUGGGUUAAAGAAUUUUGGCCAGUUAACCUUGUUCUAACUUUUCAAAUAGACGUGUUUUCUCCAAAACUUUUAUUACAGAGUAAACAGAUUUUGGUGUAGUUCAGAACAAUUUUGGAAUUAAAGUUUGGUUGUCAAUGAGUUUGUAUAUAUUUCCAGAAGGGGAGAAGAUUGUAGUAGUAAGAAUUUGUUUCAAAGUUCAAUUUUAAGAAGGAUGUGUAUAUGUGUCAAACUCAGUCGGAGUUGUUUGAUCUAGAACAAGAACGUUUUUGACUAGAUGGACACUGUAAAUAAAAUCUAUUUAGUUUGUAUUUGUAACUUUCAUGCGCAUUGGUCAUUAUAAACUUAAAAUGAAUUUUGUUGUGCUUUCAAAAUAAUCUAUUUAUCUCACUUU